rnacentral:piRNA from 1 species
UCAAGUCGCCGCAGGAUGGAAAGGGAGUG